rnacentral:rRNA from 1 species
CACUCCGCCCGUCACACCAUGGGAGUUGGUUUCACCCGAAGGCAGUGCGCUAACCGUAAGGAGGCAGCUGACCACGGUGGGAUCAGCGACUGGGGUG